rnacentral:rRNA from 1 species
GACGAACGCUGGCGGCGUGCCUAAUACAUGCAAGUCGAACGCAGUGGGGACGGGUGAGUAACACGUGGGUAACCUCCCAUCAGAGGGGAGAACACUUGGAAACAGGUGCUAAAACCGCUACUGAUGGAUGGACCCGCGGUGCCUUAGCUAGUGGGUGGGGUAACGGCUCACCAAGGCCACGAUGCAUAGCCGGCCUGAGAGGGUGAUUGGCCACACUGGUACGGAGACACGGCCCAGACGCCUACGGGAGGCAGCAGUAGGGAAUCUUCGGCAAUGGACGAAAGUCUGACCAAGCAACGCCGCGUGAGUGAAGAAGGUUUUCGGAUCGUAAAACUCUGUUGUUGGAGAAGCGGUAUCUAACCAGAAAGCCACGGCUAACUACGUGCCAGCAGCCGCGGUAAUUC